rnacentral:rRNA from 1 species
UACGUAGGGUGCGAGCGUUGUCCGGAAUUAUUGGGCGUAAAGGGCUCGUAGGCGGUCUGUCGCGUCGGGAGUGAAAACUCAGGGCUUAACCCUGAGCCUGCUUCCGAUACGGGCAGACUAGAGGUAUGCAGGGGAGAACGGAAUUCCUGGUGUAGCGGUGAAAUGCGCAGAUAUCAGGAGGAACACCGGUGGCGAAGGCGGCGAUCUGGGAAGAUACUGACGCUGAGGUGCGAAAGCGUGGGGAGCAAACAGG